UACCAGCUUUAUCUGUGCCUAGCAUCUAAGUAAGGUGGAGACUGGAGAAAAGGUUCCCAAAUUAUUCCUUUAAAAUGCAUCCUGAAUCACUUCCUUUUUUUUUUUUUUUUUUUUUUUUAGAAACAUUGCAAUGAAUAAAAAUGUUGCAACGCUAAAAGUAGAGGGAGUCUUUCAAACGUGGUGACAACUCAGUGAUACACAGAUUUGAUCAAAGAGACCAUCGAAACAUCGGAAGUAGAACAUGAAGAAAAGCCCGUGGAGGUACAGGGCAGAUGUAAAAACUGAAGACCAGAACUAGAUGCAAUGAAGAACAACUCAGAAAUGAUUAGUAAAGAAUUAAGAUCAAAUAAUAAAGGGUAAGAACAGUGAGAAAUGAGAACACCUCCAGUGAGGUUGAGCAAUCAGUAACUGCUUCAUUGGAGAAGGGUUCAGCUGCAAAGUAUAGCCACAUGUUAUGAAGAAAGCUGUGCUUUUUUAACGUCCAGUGCAUUUGCAUGAGGAAUAAAGGAAAUCCUAAUGGCAGGCUGGCACAUUAAUAGAUGGAAGCAGAUGGAACCUUUGAGAACUGCAGAACAGAUUUCAGAGGACAGCAGAUUUCAUCCAAGAGGCCUAAGGCAUCCCCCUACACCUCAGGCAAAAUUCUCAUCGAUUCUCUCACUGGAAGAGCAACAACUGGCAGCCUGAGGGGAACAAACACUGGCUAAAGGGCUCAGGCCUUGAUCCCACAAACAUUUAUGGUUGGAUAACGAAGCCAUAAACUCUACAAGUGUCGGGGAAACGUUGCCCCCUACUGUUUAUUAGCUCCAGGAGAACAGCAGAGAAGUGGAGAAAUCAGUUUGGGAAAUAGUCAUAACAACAGAGUUAAGAUCUCCAAGGAAUGAACAGGGAUAACUACAUAUUGCAUUCCUGAAGAUAGCAAAACAACAGUUUAACAAAGUCAGAAGAGAACAAAUGCAAUUCCUUGCCCACAAGGAGGACAACCCUGCUUAAGCACCUGGAUUUUUCUGUUUCAGUGGUGUUAGGUUGGGCUAUGUAAGGAAAAUGCACAUCUCUGGUGUUUAUGAUAACAUGUUUUUGAUGAUGUUCUAAUUAUACUUCUGAUACUACCUCACGAAAUUUAUACCUCUAUCCCUCAAGCAUGCCUACAACAAACAAUUCUGUAAGCAAAAUUUGAAAAUUUGAAAUUUUGCUCAAAAACCAAGCUAUUACUUAAAGUCUUUGCAUUCCAUUUGUUUCAGAGUUUUUGCUAGGGAUACAAAAAAGUGGUCAAUACGUGGCAAGAGGUUCCAUGUGCAGACUUUCCCUUACCUAAAGAGGCAGCAUGCAAGAGGCAGUUCCCAUCACCUGUUGUCGCCAAGGGAAGAAGACGUUUACAGCUUGUACACACUGUGGACCACCAAUUUAAUCGCCCUGAAAAGAAAGCAUCUGUUAAAAUGGUGUAGUGGGUACUAACCCAGGAUGUGUACAGGCAUACGGUGAUGAUGUGUAAUAUUGAAGGUUAACCGUGAACAGCCUUUCUGCCAAGUAAAAUUAAAUCUAACGUUAGAAGUACAAACUGAAAGAUUAGAAAUAAGACGCACCUAAACCAUAACUAUUAUUUAAAUGUACUUGAAAUAAGAGAACACCUUUAAUUAAUUUGCAUUUUCUGUUCCCAUAUGCUGCAUUCAUGAGUGGACUUCUAAGUUCAUUGCCUAAAUACCCUUAUUUCCCAGAAGUAAUGAACAUUGGCAUCCUAUAUAUAGGCUGUAUUGCUGUAAUAACAUCUCAGAAGACAAAACUAGUAUGUAUGUGCUAAUAAAAAAAACAAAAACA